AUGCAAGUCGAACGGUAACAGGAUGUGCUUGCACAUCGCUGACGAGUGGCGGACGGGUGAGUAAUGCUUGGGAACUUGCCUUUGCGAGGGGGAUAACAGUUGGAAACGACUGCUAAUACCGCAUAAUGUCUUCGGACCAAACGGGGCUCCGGCUCCGGCGCAAAGAGAGGCCCAAGUGAGAUUAGCUAGUUGGUAAGGUAACGGCUUACCAAGGCGACGAUCUCUAGCUGUUCUGAGAGGAAGAUCAGCCACACUGGGACUGAGACACGGCCCAGACUCCUACGGGAGGCAGCAGUGGGGAAUAUUGCACAAUGGGGGAAACCCUGAUGCAGCCAUGCCGCGUGUGUGAAGAAGGCCUUCGGGUUGUAAAGCACUUUCAGUUGUGAGGAAAAGUUAGUAGUUAAUACCUGCUAGCCGUGACGUUAACAACAGAAGAAGCACCGGCUAACUCCGUGCCAGCAGCCGCGGUAAUACGGAGGGUGCGAGCGUUAAUCGGAAUUACUGGGCGUAAAGCGCACGCAGGCGGUUUGUUAAGCUAGAUGUGAAAGCCCCGGGCUCAANCUGGGAUGGUCAUUUAGAACUGGCAGACU
rnacentral:rRNA from 1 species